rnacentral:rRNA from 1 species
GACGAACGCUGGCGGCGUGCUUAACACAUGCAAGUCGAACGGAAAGGCCUCUUUCGGGGGGUACUCGAGUGGCGAACGGGUGAGUAACACGUGAGUAACCUGCCCUUGACUUUGGGAUAACUUCAGGAAACUGGGGCUAAUACCGGAUAGGAGCUCCUGCUGCAUGGUGGGGGUUGGAAAGUUUCGGCGGUUGGGGAUGAACUCGCGGCUUAUCAGCUUGUUGGUGGGGUAGUGGCUUACCAAGGCUUUGACGGGUAGCCGGCCUGAGAGGGUGACCGGCCACAUUGGGACUGAGAUACGGCCCAGACUCCUACGGGAGGCAGCAGUGGGGAAUAUUGCACAAUGGGUGGAAGCCGGAUGCAGCAACGCCGUGUGUGGGAUGACGGCCUUCGGGUUGUAAACCGCUUUCGCUCAUGACGAAGCUUUGUGUGACGGUAGUGGGUAAAGAAGCACCGGCUAACUACGUG